AAAUAUCAACAAUUAAUGAGCUCUAAUAAUUAUAUUGUUCUUGAAAAACUUUGUAGAUUUAUAAAAAUUAUAAAUGUGAGGGUCACUCCUCCUGGUUAGUUUGUAAUUUAAUGUUUAUGUUUGUAUUGUUCACAUGUGCUUCAAUAUUUAAUGUAAUUGUUUAUAUAUUCUCUGUAACUAUGUAAUUUGUAGUUUAUGAGAAAUAAAAUUCAUUCAUUCUUUCA
rnacentral:lncRNA from 1 species